UAGUAGCUAGCUAGAAAUUGCGCAAAAAAUAUUUUUUCAAAGAUUUCAAAGGAAAGUAGACAAUGAAUGGUGUUCCAGCAUGAGUGGACAUCAAAAUAUUUUCUUUAUUGAGGUAUCAGGGAAAGCUGUGUGCAAAGAGAGCAUUGUUGCCUUGAAAGACUACAACUGAAAAGAAAAACUACAAUAGUCCCGACACUUCCAGAUGAGGCAUGCAGAGAAUUUUAGGAGUAUGUCUUCUGAGCAGAGGGCAAGUGCAUCGAAAGAUUUGCUUUCUCAGUUGCAAAAGCAGCACGGACUUUUCACAAAACUGUAUUCAGCAAACGACGGAAAUGCGAGAGAUAGCUAUGUACUGUCCCACAAAAUUGCUAAACAUAGCAAGCCAUUCACUGAGGGCGAAUUAAAUACAGAAUGUUUAAUUCACUCCGCAGCAAUACUUUGCCCCGACAAGAAAGAGCUGUUUGAAAAUGUUUCCCUGUCAAGACGAACAGUGACCCGGCGUGUUGAGGACAUCGCAGAGAAUAUGGAACAACAGUUGAAAGACAAGUUCCGUCUGCUCUGACUCUGGUCCCUGUCGCCAGUCCCUCGUCUCGUCAAUCCUGCUUCCCUGCCCUGGACCCCUGCUCUACUGCUUCCUUGGAUUCCGCUCCAGACCUGCUUACCCUGCCCCUACUCCCCUUACCCCAGCCUCAGUUCCUGGUUCACUGCUACCCGCCCGAGCUCCCCCUGGCCUGCACCCCAUCUCCCCCAGCUUUUCAAUAAAUACCUUGGUAACCUUA